AUAAUGAUACUUCCGUCCAGUCACAGCCCCCUUGGCCGGGGACCACGCAAUGAGGGCGGCCGCCAGAGAACCUGGCGGAGGUGGAACUCCUAUGA
rfam:Clostridium bolteae CAG:59 genomic scaffold, scf22